AACAACAUAUCACCCUUUUUUUUUCACCCUCCUCAAGACUUCGGAUGCCUCACCCUUGUAAUUUAAUUCAUCCUUUUAAUGAAUGAAGUAACAUGUUAGUUUUCCCUCAAAAAACAAACAACUUAGUCAAUUUUAUGUAUUUUUCUCAAAAGACAAAACAUUUUUUUUCAAUAUUAAUUAAUUGUGCAUUAAUUUAUGAAAGUCAUAGGAAAUGGGAAAUGGGAAAUGGGAAAUGGAAGGUGCGUAACGGCUUUUCGCAGCCGCAACGCGCCACGCCACACGUUCCGUUGCUCGACACAACGACACACGACGAGCUCGAACGUGCCAAACAAAAUGUGGGGCCCAACGACACGUGCUCUUUCUUUUUCUUUUUCUUUUUCUUUUUUCCACUUCUUCAUCUCACGACAAUAUCAGAAAAUUUCUAAAUAUAAAUAAUUAGUUUUAAUAGUAAUUAUAAUCCGCUCUUUUUAUAGAUUUUUGUUUAAUAAUGAUUACAAAAUUGGGGAAAAAAAUUGGACAAAAAAGCGACCACAUACAGUCCUAUCAAGUCGCACGUGGACACGUGUACGAUAACGGAGAUCGACACAGCACUUUUAACCGCCGUUAUUUCCCUCGGGAACAAAUCAACCUACUCUUUCUCACGGUACAGCUACGCCGUUAAUGACACUUCAGACGACAAAAUUAAAAAGAAAAAAAAAAAAACAUUGCACCACGAGUGUCCAAAAUUAAUCCAAAUCUGAUCGAUGUUUUAACAUUUAAACUAAAAUUUCUAAAUAAUUAUUUUUAAAAGUAUUUACUUAAUCAAGAGAAAUUUACACAUUUUAGCAUUAAUAGUUUACAAGAAAAAGAAAGCAAUUUCCAAAACUUAAUUACAGCAAAAUGAGAAAAAUUAGACCGAAUUAUUAUCCAAAUUAAAUUUGAAAAUUAGAAAAAUAAGGAGGAGGAGGAGGAGGAGGAGGAGGAGGGAGUGGUGGAAACACNAAACAUUUUGUACUACCAAAUGUUGGAUAUAUAUAUGUUUACAUUCAGUAUUCUCUAUUACUAACUAAUUUGGUGUUCUUGCGUUAUUAGUGUAGUGGCUUUUUAUUUAUAUGAAAUUUCUUCACACAUGUGACUCUGGAUGAGAUCUGUGAUGCACAUAUAAAUCACAAAUAAGGGUCAGGGGUAUCAAGGAUUUUAGUGCUCGUCACCACAAGCUGUCUCUACUUUAUUAUACUAUGUUGACAAAAUAUUGACACGAUACAAUUUCAUGCCAAAGGCACGUACGGCUCAAACCCUCUUUUUUUUUUUUUUUUGUCACAUUAGCAAAUAGUUAUCUAAACUAGGAAAGAUCAGAUAAAAAUAAAAUUAAAGCAUGAAAUCCUUUAUGCUUCCUUCCUAAAGCUCUCUACCCAACUUGGGAGAGAGCUUCUAGAGAGAGGGAGAGAAAUGAGAGAGGAGUGUAAUAGCUGUGAGAGAGAGAGAGAGAGAGAGAGAGAGAGAGAGAGAGAGGGUGUUGGGAUCUUUUUAUAAGUUGUUACAAUAGCAAAAAGGCCCUCAUUUUUUUUUAUUUACAGCAAACCUAACCUGCUGUUUCGCAGUCGGCAUACCGGUACGCGGGCAAUUUGUCACCGGUACGCUCCCGCGCAGCUGCCGAGAUUCGAGACCUGAUGUUCUCGGUCUGGCGUAGGGUAUCAGUACUCGGGAAAAUAGUCACCGAUCAAUAGCCUUGACGGAGGCUAACCCGAGAGCUGCUACUCUCGGUCAGCUGCUUGGUGCCGGUACUCUUUGAAAUAGUCACCGGUUAACAAUGCUUCAAAAUUUUCGUUUUACAUUAUUUCGACUUUAUUUCGCACCGAGUAAUAUUAAAACCUUUUUAACUCACUUGGAACUCAACUUUGACCCUUCCAACAUUAUUGAAAUGCUAAUUGGAUUUUGUCCAAUUAUUUCUCUCGCACACUUUAGUCGAUUUGACUAAAAUUCGAUAUACACUAUCGAGGCUUCGGUAUAUUACACUGGACGUAAUGUCGUUUAAGCUGCUCCAUCGCCCGAAGGGAGGGCUCGUUGCGGCGACCGUAGGGGCCGAUGGCGACCAUUCGGGGCUUGUACAGCACCGUGUUGCGCUCCCGGAUGAAGGCUGCGACGCGGAAGAAGGUGAAGUUCUUAUCCGCGGCCGUCGGCUCAUCGCUCAAGGCGCGUUGUUUAUGCCUGGCUCUCAGCAGGGACUUGGACUUGGGAAUAUCUAGUGCCACUUCCACUCCUUCCAUCGUCAACCUGUACCAGAGGUUCUCAAACUCUCACGAAUUUAUUGGUGCAGAAAAAAUAGGAUGAAAGAGUCCUCCCUCGGCUUAUCUAUAUCCGCAGCUAUGUUAGUUAACUCACGAAUUAUUCGCGAAUUUUUGAAAAAACAAAUUAAACGGCCGAAUACGUAUUUUUUCGAAAAAUUCGAAAAAAAAGUGAUUUUUUGACUAAAAAAUACGGAUUCGCGUAUUAUAGGGCGAGCCGUAUUAUUCGGCCAAAAGAAACUGCUCACACCCGCGCAGCCCGUGCCUGCCCCCGCCGCUCGUGCCUGCCCGCGCUCCCGCGGGCUCCCGCACGCGCGCAUGGGCCGGCGUGCCCAAAACAGUGAAAUGCCAAAAAAAAAAAAAAAACUCUCCAAACACCUUGCCUAAGACCCAAAAAAAAAAAAUUUUCUUUUCAAAUUUUUACUUAAUUAAUUUAAUUUUAUAGCUAUUUAUUUUUAUAUUUUUUAAAAAAUAUGAAUAUUUAUACUAAUAGCAUAAAUUUUAAAAAAAAAAUAAUUUAAUAGCCGAAUUUUUUAUCCUGAAUUUUUAAUUGGUAAACGUAUAAUAUCCGUAUAAAUCACGUAUCCGAAUAAUUGAUGAAUCUAUUUUUUAGCCAUACUUUUCAACGAAUUUAAAAAUUAGAAAACGAAUUUUAUCCGAAUUAUAUCCGUACCAAAUUUUUACCGAAUCCGAAUUAACUAACUAUGAUCUGCAGACGCAGAGCACCCUGGAUUGGGACAGAAAUUAUUCGGAGAUUUGAAAUUCAAAAAAAUAAAAGUGUAUAUUUGAGCCCGUCGAACAUAUCGCUAUUUGGACGUUAGAUUUCACAUCUCGAGUAAAAAUCUAAUAUAUAUUUAAAAAUCACAAAAAAAUAAAAAAAUUAAAUAGUUUUUUAGAUAAAUUUUUAGUUUCAAAACUUAGUAUCAAAUUAAUUUUCAAACUCUUAAUUUUAAAAUUUUUAAAAUUCUUAAUUAUUUUAUGUUAGAUAUAUUUAUAUAAUUUUUAAUACUAAUCUUUUUUUUUUGAGAAAAAGAUAAUAUAUUAUCCCCUUCGUUCAUUUUUUUUUGAAAAUAAACUUACACAGAAUUAUGAAAUAAUUAGGUUCUAAACUUAGAACUUCAGUUACCAACCGCCAAGUCUUUUGUCAAUUACACUAGAGACCAGCGGUUAUUAGUGGAUUUACAUAAAAAUUAUUAUUAUAUCAAAAGUCUGCAUAAUUAUUUGUCAUUAAGUUUUGAAACUAAAAAUUUCAAAUUUCUUUCUAGUAAUUGUUUUAAUAUAUGUAAAAUUAUUUAAAUUAAUUGGUGCUGAGUGCUGAAAACUAAUUAAAUAAGGUGUCUCGAAAUAUGAGAUUAGUGCACACGGGAAGAUAAAUUUUACAUUCGUAAAUUCAUAAUUUUUUUUCUUCACCCCUUUUUGACUUUUAUUCCCUGUGGUGCUUUCUUUUUUUUUCUUUUUUGUUGAGAGAAAGAUAACAUAUUAAUUAUUUUGUUUAUUUUUUUAAAAUAAAUUUAAUUAAAAAUGUGAAGCAACUAUAAUUGAAAUUUUAAAUUUUGGAUAUCAAUUACUAAACCUUUUGCGCAGCAGCUGGGACGUUUUUAAGCCCUCGGAGCUAUAUUUAGGGAUGUCGAUGGGUAUAGAUACCAAAAAUUUUAUCCGAAUCGACCCAAAUGAAACGGAUAUAUCCGCUGGAUAUGAAUAUGAAUUCGAAUAUAGAUAUGAAAAAUAGAAACCCGACGAAUAUAUAUUCGGAUAUGGAUUUUGAUUGUGCCUGACCUAACCCGAACCCGAUCCCGAUCCCGAUCCGAGACCGAAUUUAUUUUGUAUUAUAUUAUAUAUAUAUAUAUAUAUAUAAAUUUGAUGUUAUAUUUGAAUUUAUAUUUCAAAAAUUUAGAUUUAAUAUAAUAUAUUUUAAAAUAUUGAAAAAAAAAUAAUUGUUUCGGGUUCAAAUUUUAGGGUUCGGGUUCAUGCUCGGGUUUCGAAUUUUUGGUCGGGUUCGAGUUUGGAUAUGAAUAUUUAAAAUCCGUCGGGUUUGAGUUCAGGUUCAGAUUUCGGGUUUGAAAUCGGGUUUGGAUUCGGAUUUUUAAAAAUCCACCCCGAAUCCGAUCCAUUGACAUCUCUAACU
rnacentral:lncRNA from 1 species